rnacentral:rRNA from 1 species
AUGUCCCGAAGUAAAUUUGAUAUCGAGAAUUAAGUUGUAGCUCCAGCGUUAGAUAAAAUAGCUAUUCUUGAGAAAUUUUAUUAAUGCGACAAUAGGGAUUUCAUUGAAUUAAAAUGUAAGUAAUAAUUACCUAGUUUUUUUAUUAAUAUUAAUAUUUAUUUUUUAAUUUCAAAAUAUUUAAAUUAAUAGUGGGGUUAUUUUAAUAAAAUAAUUUUAAAUUAGUUAAAAAGUAAUAUAUAUUUAAUUUUAUUUUAUUAAUUCUAAAUAUCCCAGAAGAGCAGAAAAUAAUAAUGUAAGUGUAAAAAUACUUAUUAAUUUUAAGUUAAAAAUAAUUUAUAUUUAUCAAAUAUAGAGUAAGUUGGAAAGUAUGUUCGGAAGUUAAUUUUCUGUUAACUAAUACGAUGAACCCCGGUGCCCAGU